AUUGAACGCUGGCGGCAUGCUUUACACAUGCAAGUCGAACGGCAGCGCGGGCUUCGGCCUGGCGGCGAGUGGCGAACGGGUGAGUAAUGCAUCGGAACGUGCCCAGCAGUGGGGGAUAGCCCGGCGACAGCCGGAUUAAUACCGCAUACGACCUGAGGGUGAAAGCGGGGGACCGAAAGGCCUCGCGCUAUUGGAGCGGCCGAUGUCGUAUUAGCUAGUUGGUGGGGUAAAGGCUUACCAAGGCGACGAUCCGUAGCUGGUCUGAGAGGACGACCAGCCACACUGGGACUGAGACACGGCCCAGACUCCUACGGGAGGCAGCAGUGGGGAAUUUUGGACAAUGGGGGCAAGCCUGACCCAGCAAUGCCGCGUGAGGGAAGAAGGCCUUCGGGUUGUAAACCGCUUUUGUUCGGGAAGAACUCAUCUGGGCUAAUACCCCGAGGGGAUGACGGUACCGGAAGAAUAAGCAACGGCUAACUACGUG
rnacentral:rRNA from 1 species